GGGGGGGGACAAAAGGUUGUCUCUGUCUGUGUGAUGCUUUUGCGGGGACCAGAGCAGGAAUGCAGGUGGCUCUUCUCCUCAGAUGUACACAUGGCAUAUUGUGAGGUUUCCUGUGGGGAUGUAAAGUAGAACUGAAAUGUCAUUGGUGGAGACAGAAGGAUCUUUCAGAUCCUGAACGGAGAAAUUGGAAGGAAGACCACUUUAAAUAUUGGUUUUUUUCAGUUAAGCAUUCUGGUUAUUUGGUUAUUCAAAAACAAACAAACAAACCAACCAGCAAAGAUAUGAGGAGAUCCAAGACCCAGUCCUGCAAACACUUUGAAGUGUGUAAUCCCACUGAAUUCUGUGAGACUGCACAUCAGUAAAAUUAAUGUAACAGAGGUAGUGGAUGACCGUGAGGCAACUUCAUAAUUGACAUGUCUGAAGAUUCGUAAAGGUUACAUCCUGAGGAGAUAAGUCCAUUUCCCAUGUUCCUCUGCAAAGAUACUUUAAGACUAGCUCCUUCUAGCUCUCUUCUGAGCAUGGUCAGUAUUUCUUUUUCGACAACAGAUGCCAUAUCGAUAUUGUCCUCUACAUCUUCCAGCCUGUCAGCACUGUCACUGAUGUCGAACUUCUCAAUCUCUUCAUUGAUACGAUUCAGAUCCUCCAUUGAGAGGCCAGAGGCAGGGGCUACAGGACAGUUGCCUUUCAGAUGGACUUUGAGGCUGCAGAGGUGAAUAUAGCUCUUGUGGCAGUGGACACACUUGUGUGGCCGUUCCCUGGUAUGGAGACGCUUGUGCAACUUCAGGUGCACGAACUGGGUGAAUUUAGCAGGGCACAGCUUGCACUGAUAAGGCUUUUCUCCAGAGUGGAGUCGCAGAUGUGUCUUUAGAUUGCUAGUGCUGCUGAAUCGUUUAUGGCAAACCUAAUUUUGGAGGCGACAGGAAAAAAAAAGUGAGUGAGUGGGAGGGUUGUUUUUGUUUGUUUGUAAUUGCAGAUAAAUAGGAAAGCCUGGCAUGUUGAAAAAGCCACUUGCCAUCACUGCAUCUUUAGACUUUCACAUUUAAAACAAACACCCCCAAAUUAACUUUUUAAUCUUGCUGAGUAGCAUUUGGCCUACAGCUUGUCUGGCAGAUGCUGUAGCAGGCAAAAAGUGAAGCUGAUGAUCUCGCUGUGCAUGGAACACUACAUACCUGACACUCAUGAGGCUUUUCUCCUGUGUGUACCAGAUAGUGCUUCUGGAGAUGAGCCAGCUGAGUGAACCCUUUAUUGCAAGUCUGACAUUUGAAUGGUCUCUCUCCACUAUGUACUCUGAGGUGGACCUAAUGAGAAACAAAAACAUUUACUAUAGUUUUCAGUAAUUACAAAGAGAGUACUUUAAAAACAAAAACCCAUAAACAUUUGCAAAAAGUUACUAGAGACAUCCCACAGGCAGAACACAUUGCAUGGAAAUCAUCAAGUUACUUUUUUUUAGGCCACUUCAACAUUUAAAAAAAUAAAUACAUUUUAAAAAAAAUUAAACCAUCACGUUUACUACCAUGAUACCAUGGUGAUAAGUAUAGCAUGAAACCUAGAUGAAUUGGUUGCAUCUUAAAAGAAAGAAAGCAUGGGUGCUAGGUAAGUUACAGAAAAAAAAUAUAAGCCUUCCAACAAUGAUGGAAACUUAAUAUAUUUUGUUAAAGAUGGGAAUGUUUUCCUUAUAAUUAGGCUGUCGCCUUAAUGCCUACCUUCAGAUUGGAGAGCUGGCCAAAGGUCUUGGAGCAAACAUUGCAUUCAUACUUGAUCUUCCCAUUCUGCUUCUUCAGUGGAUAUGGAAGGGUUUUGUAACCAGUCACAUUCCUCUUGCUUUUAAUGAGAUUCAUGGCUUCUUCACUGGUGGCAGCCAAUACUGCUGAGGUAGGUUUAGGUUGCAUUAUGUGUUCUGAAGUGGCUGCUGUGCCAGCUGUGGGGGACCCACUGGUGGGGCUGCAUGGUUUGUCUUUCAUGCUGGCAGCAGCACCUGUGAUGGAAAAGGCACUGUUAGGUGCUGGUAUGAGAAAGUCUCUUGGAUGAUCGGGUUGUAGCAAUCUACGGCCUCCUUCAGGUGGCAAUGAACUUGGAAGAGGAGCUGGGUUCAGCAUGUGAUGGGAAAGGCUUCCUCCACUGAGUAGGUUGCUAUAGAGAGGAUACAUCCCUGGGAACAGAUUGAAAUUGUUGAUGCCAUUGAUAUUGUUCAAACCGCUCAGGUUAUUACAGCUCAUACUGUACGGAGGUAACAGGAAUUUUGGAUAGUGGGAAUUAUAAGAGGAUAAAAAGGCUGGUGUGAGAUGGCUAGGGGGUGCAUAUCCAGGAUAAGACCCCAAUCCUUCUGAGCCAUAGGGUCCAUUCAAGUAUGGGUAAGAUUCUCUAUGUUCUUGAGAAGUAGGUGCCAGAGGUGAAACUGUAACCCCUGGACUGCUGUGAGGGCUUGAGCUUUUUAAGCUUUGGUCUGGGCUGCUCCUUGCUGAAGGACUUGGUGUGGUAGAAGACUGGAUUGGUGAGUGAGUAAUGUAGCUAGGUCUUUCCAUCCCAUAAAUUAGGGAAGUUUUCAAAUAAUCUUCUGGAAUGUGAGGUCGGAUUGGAUAGACAACACGAGGAAAGAAAGACCUUUCUGGACUACAGUUUUUUCUCAAGUCAUCCAAAUGUUUUUCUGGAGUAACUGGUGAAAUGUUAGUCUGGAAUAAGUCCUUUCCUUUUGAAUGGUUGGGUUCAGUUUUGAGGAUUUCUUUCACACUGUGCUCUCUCUUUGGGAUACUUUUCUGAUAAAGCUCAUUUUUACCAGUGCUUUGCUGCUUUGGAUUAACAUGGCUUUGUGCUGAAAGACAAAGACAAGGCAAUGAUUAUUUAACAAGUCAAUAUGAAACAACAUUCCUCAUUUUUAAGUACAAUCUACAAGCUUAACCAGAAGGUCAGAAGAACAGGUGACUCUUGUCAAGUACAAUCUUUUAACUCAUCCAAAAAAAGUUAGCUUCUGUGCAAAGGAGGACUACUUUGGGAUGUAAAGAGUUAACAAAAAGCAAGUCAGAUAUACACCGUUAAUAUAAGGAAUAUCAGCAAGUAUACACAGAGCUAGAGCAGUCUGAUGAUGAUGACUCGUUCUCUGAGUGGCAGUCGUCUAUGUUCAAACUGAUUUAUCCGCCCUCCCCAUGAAUUUGAGUAGAUCCGCUAUAAAUUCCCUACACACAAAAUAGAUUUCUAAUAACUGAGAUAAACAAGUAUUUGUUAAUAAUAUAGGUUUAACAGAAAGCCUUUGUAGGGCUUGAGCUCUCAAAUGCUUCUCCUUGGAAUAUCAAGGCAUGGCAAAUCAACCUUUGCCAAACCACAACAGGCACUUCACCAGCCAGUUCAAUGACUUACAGUACUAAAAAAUAUGGGACUGGCUAGGAUGAAAGCCUUCUUCAGAAAGAAGGUAUUCUACAUCAGUAAACAGACCAUUAGUCAUUCAAUAUACUGCCUAGUAACAUCUACAACAAAGCAGGCUAUUUGCUGCAGAUUUUCUAUGGCAUUCAGUGUGUUCAAAACUCCUUUACUUCCAGCUGUACUUUAUAAAGACUUCACCAAAUUAGAGCAAAGGAAAGCAAGAUUCAUGGCUCCAGCCUAAGUCAAUUUUUUUUCCCUCCAGAAAUCUACAUUUUGAAACAAAAUACUUGCUAGUGUCCAUUUAAAGCUGUUCAGAACAGCCAUUUUAGAUUAUCUACUGUCAGAAUCUCUUUAUACUUGUCCAGACAUAUGUGAUAUAAAAAUUACCAUAAAAGAUAUCUUUAGUAGAAAGAAUUUUGCUUUAGCUAAUUUCCUAAAGUUAGUAGUUAUAUAACCAUACAGUGAUUGUUUGUAAGAUGUUUUAUUACAGGAUAAACCACAAGAGAAGCUUUAUACAAUCAUGACUAGGGCUACUAGGUACUAUAGUAAUACAAAUAAUAGUGAUGAUGUAUUCACAACUGUUUGUAUCUACGUUUUUGCAUAUCCAAUGGUAAAUUGCUAUCAAUUGACAUGAGGAAGCGGUGCUAUUUGAUAGUAUUGCAGAGUUUCUACUUAUUGACUUUUUCUUAACUGAGCUGGUCAUUAAAAAACUUUUUUACUUA